UUAGAUACAAUAUCACGGGUAAGUCAAAUUAUCUUUUUAUUAGUUCAGGUAUAAGCAUUUGGUCAUGUUGCUCAAGUUUUAGUUUCACUCUUAGGCUCCAUUUAUUUCAUGGAAAUUAUUUUCUGCAUUUUUUCUGGUGUUUAGGGAACCUAGGAAAAUUGGUUAAUAGAAAAUGUUUUCCUAGUGAAGGAGAAAUUAGGCCAUGUUCAAGGAAAAUGACUCCUCCAUCUGAAAAGAGAACAAUUUCUGUACUUUGAAGAACUUAUUAAAAGAGGGAGGCCUAUAUGGAAACUACAUGAAGACAUACUUACUAGUCUACCAGCUACUGUUCAUCUUUGAUAGAACACCAGAUUUUAUUUGUUUGAGAGUUCUACUCUGACAUCACCUUUUGCAUUUUUGAUGUAAAAAUUAAUGUGAGAUGAUUUUAUAAUGGAUUCUUGAAUAAUAUUGGGUUAUUAAAUUGAAUUGAAGAAUUCAGGAGUUCUAUGACAAUUUUUAUAUAUUGGGAAGUCAGCUUCUUAAGCCAAUAACAUUUGACCAUGUGUUAAAUAAUGUUUGUUAAAGUGGAGUGCUAUUGGAAACAUUUGGCGAAGUAAUGCAUGGAAUUAAUCAUAAAGCUAUACACUUGAAUUGUUGUAGAAGUGUUACCAUGUAAUUGUUUGUGAACUUCAUUAACCAAUGUCCCAUUAACAAGUAAAAAUUACAAGAUCAUCUACCUAAUUGUGUGCAAAAACUAUCCUUAAGUAAUCUUUUGAUGUGGCAAUGGAGGGAAUUACUAGUGCCACUAGGCAUCAUUGAAACUUGUUUUGUGAGUAAUGUUGA
rnacentral:misc_RNA from 1 species